AGGCGGCUUCUCCAAUUCCUCUGUUUCCCAUUCUUCUUUGCAAUUUCUUCACAGCAAGCACCAAACAGAUUACUCGAUGCCAUCACCCUAAAAUCUAUGGAGCUUCACAUUUCCACCAGUAUCUACAAAAUUUCUCACCCUUCCUUUGACUCUUACUCACCUAAAUAGCUCUUCAAAUCUCGCGUAUUUCAUGGCAUAAAGUUCAGAAGGAAAUUGAAAUCCAAUUCCAGGCCCCUCCGAGUCGCGUUGCUUUCUGAAAAACUGAACGUGAAUUCGUUUCCCGAGAAUCGGGAGGAGUCUGGGAAUUCCUGUGAAGGCUCCAAGUUCAUUAAAGUGAUUGGAAUCGGCAGCAGAAAAGAUGCAGUUGUCGACUUCUGUUUGGAUUUGCCUCUUCUUUGGCCCUCCUUGAGGUUUUGAUAUGCUCAUUGUAUCAUGUCUCCGUUGUUAGUUAUGUAGUAUGUGAUUUUGUCUUUGUAUAUUUUAUUUCUUCUCUAGAAUUGUUCUUAAUAAGAUGUGUAUAUAAAUGACUAAGGAGCUCCAUAAGCAAAGUGUUGUAAAUGCUCAGAAGGAUUUUUUUGGUUUGUUUGUUUGCGGGUGGGGAAAGUAUUGUAUGUUGAACAUAUAUCGAGGACG
rnacentral:lncRNA from 1 species